rnacentral:rRNA from 1 species
GACGAACGCGGCGGCGUGCCUAAUACAUGCAAGUAGAACGCUGAAGGAGGAGCUUGCUUCUCUGGAUGAGUUGCGAACGGGUGAGUAACGCGUAGGUAACCUGCCUGGUAGCGGGGGAUAACUAUUGGAAACGAUAGCUAAUACCGCAUAAGAGUAGAUGUUGCAUGACAUUUGCUUAAAAGGUGCAAUUGCAUCACUACCAGAUGGACCUGCGUUGUAUUAGCUAGUUGGUGGGGUAACGGCUCACCAAGGCGACGAUACAUAGCCGACCUGAGAGGGUGAUCGGCCACACUGGGACUGAGACACGGCCCAGACUCCUACGGGAGGCAGCAGUAGGGAAUCUUCGGCAAUGGACGGAAGUCUGACCGAGCAACGCCGCGUGAGUGAAGAAGGUUUUCGGAUCGUAAAGCUCUGUUGUAAGAGAAGAGCGAGUGUGAGAGUGGAAAGUUCACACUGUGACGGUAUCUUACCAGAAAGGGACGGCUAACUACGUGCCAGCAGCCGCGGUAAUACGUAGGUGGCAAGCGUUAUCCGGAUUUAUUGGGCGUAAAGAGAGUGCAGGCGGUUUUCUAAGUCUGAUGUGAAAGCCUUCGGCUUAACCGGAGAAGUGCAUCGGAAACUGGAUAACUUGAGUGCAGAAGAGGGUAGUGGAACUCCAUGUGUAGCGGUGGAAUGCGUAGAUAUAUGGAAGAACACCAGUGGCGAAGGCGGCUACCUGGUCUGCAACUGACGCUGAGACUCGAAAGCAUGGGUAGCGAACAGG